rnacentral:rRNA from 1 species
CUACGGGCGGCACCAGUCGCGAAAACUCCACAAUGGGCGAAAGCGUGACGGGGGGAUUCUGAGUGCUUCGGUCACACCGAGGCUUUUCGUGAGGGUUAAGACCUCGCGGAAUAAGUGGUGGGCAAGACCGGUGCCAGCCGCCGCGGUAACCCCGGCGCCACAAGUGGGAACCACGUUUAUUGGGUCUCAAGCAUCCGUAGCCGGCCCGUUAAAUGCCCUGUGAAAUCGUUCUGCUCAACAGGAGGGCGUGCAGGGUAGACUGACGGGCUUGGAACCAGGAAAGGCAGGCGGUAUUCAGUGUGGAGCGGUAAAAUGCUCUAAUCCCCCGAGGACCACCGAUGGCGAAGGCGGCCUCCUUGAAUGGUGUCGACGGUGAGGGAUGAAAGCGAGGGGAGCGACCAGGAUUAGAUACCCGUGUAGUC